rnacentral:rRNA from 1 species
UGCGUAGGUGGCAAGCGUUGUCCGGAUUUACUGGGCGUAAAGGGAGCGUAGGCGGAUACUUAAGUGGGAUGUGAAAUACCUGGGCUUAACUUGGGUGCUGCAUUCCAAACUGGGUGUCUAGAGUGUUGGAGAGGAAAGUGGAAUUCCUAGUGUAGCGGUGAAAUGCGUAGAGAUUAGGAAGAACACCAGUGGCGAAGGCGACUUUCUGGACAAUAACUGACGCUGAGGCUCGAAAGCGUGGGGAGCAAACAGGAUUAGAUACCCUGGUAGUCCACGCCGUAAACGAUGGGUACUAGGUGUAAGGGGUAUCGACUCCCCCUGUGCCGCCGUUAACACAAUAAGUACCCCGCCUGGGGAGUACGGUCGCAAGAUUAAA